AUACGGAGGAUCCGAGCGUUAUCCGGAUUUAUUGGGUUUAAAGGGUGCGCAGGCGGCCAUUUAAGUCAGCGGUUAAAUCGUGGGGCUCAACCCCAUUCUGCCGUUGAUACUGGGUGGCUUGAUUGCGGUCGAGGUUGGCGGAAUUCGUUGUGUAGCGGUGAAAUGCAUAGAUAUGACGAAGAACACCGAUUGCGUAGGCAGCUGACCAGAUCGCAAAUGACGCUCAUGCACGAAAGUGCGGGGAUCGAACAGGAUUAGAUACCCUGGUAGUCCGCACAGUAAACGAUGAAUUCUUGUUUUCGGCGAUAUAAUGUCGGAGGCAAAGCGAAAGCGAUAAGUAUUCCACCUGGGGAGUACGCCGGCAACGGUGAAACUCAAAUGAAUUGACGGGG
rnacentral:rRNA from 1 species